AUAAUCAAUUCAUACCUUUUGGGGUCUUUUUCUUUGGAGGAGCAAGCUUAACAGGUUUCGGCUUAAAAAGUUCUGAAAAGUUCAACAAAACACCACGUUCAAAGGUCGGAAAAAAAGUUUUGACAAUGCUCUCCCUAAUUUGAGCUUCGUUUUGUAAUUCUUCUGUAGUAGAAGAAACAGUUUUCGAAGGUUCGGAAGGUGGAACUAAUCCCGAUGGAAUUGAAAAGCCUACUCCGCUGAGGACCUGACCAGCAGCCUCUUCACCCAUUUCUUUAGCUAAAAGCUUUCCAAAAUCUUCAUCAUCCUUAUCCCCGGUGUAAUUUACAGCUUGUUCUUCCUCUGGUAGAUUAUCAUCACUUACAUCUUCCAUAUCAUCCAUUUCAUUUAUGUUAUUACCAAAUUCCUUAUGAAUUGAACCCAUAAAGUCAAAAUCUUCAUAAUUUGGUCCAUCCUGAGGGUUGGAAUUUUCAAAACUAGAAUCUAAAAUUUUUGGGGACUCAUUCAUCCCUGGAUUGUUUGUAUCUCCUAAAAGAGAAUUUAUUACAGACAUGUCUGUACCAUUUUGCUUAAAUAAAUCUGUCAGGUCCUACAUUCGUUAGUUUAAGAUUAUAGAUUUCAAAAUACCUACAU